UGGCUGAGCGGUAAAGCGCUUGACUUCCGAACAGAUGUCCCGGGUUCGAAUCCUGG
rnacentral:tRNA from 1 species